AUAUAUACUCGUGCUCGUAGCUGGAUCGGACGUCGCCUUUGCAGGAAAGUCUUUGGCUCGCAAAAGAGGCCACCAUGAGAAAACUACUGUGCUGCUACGUUUUGCUGUUGCUUGCGGUCGAGCUGACUCACUCUCAAGAACCUGCAAGCUGUCUGGACCGGAGAGUCCUUCUAAACACUGGGAAAGAAUACCUAAGGUCCCUCGUCGCUAAGCUGAUACCAAAGUACGUCAAGGACUACAUCUCCGGCCUUCCACAAGAAGAAUUCAAAAGCAUGCGAGAGACAGAGAACUAUCCCUAGCUUCCUUUUUCGCUACUUGUGUUUUGGAUUCUCGUAGGAGGGUCGACAAGCUACUACUUGAACUGAUAAGCUUGCAGACAGAAAGCGAACGCUAUUGUUACUUGCGCCAUGGGCCUGUGAGAGUAGUUGAAGCCGGCCGCAGUGCUCGAAUCUUCCCUGACCCAGCUACAUGAUAGUGUCGCGCAAAAAAUGCUAGCGCCCGUGCACGAAUGGCUGGCGAUAUGUAGCACGGUAUUGUUCGCUUUAUGAACAUUAAAAAUAUAUC